UACGUAGGUGGCGAGCGUUGUCCGGAAUUACUGGGUGUAAAGCGCGUGUAGGCGGCAGGCCAAGUCGGUGGCGAAAGCGCCCGGCUCAACUGGGCGAGGUCCAUGGAAACUGGUCAGCUGGAGGACGGUAGAGGCGAGUGGAAUUCCCGGUGUAGUGGUGAAAUGCGUAGAGAUCGGGAGGAACACCUGUGGCGAAGGCGGCUCGCUGGGCCGGUCCUGACGCUGAAACGCGAAGGCGUGGGGAGCGAACGGG
rnacentral:rRNA from 1 species